rnacentral:misc_RNA from 1 species
AAUUCUCAACCAUCCCUCGAUUGAUUUUUUUCGAGGUUUGGCUUGGAUUUUGGGAGCUGCCGGCGACCGGAUCGGGUCCUUGGCUCUCCUCAAAAGCAUUAGCGACGGUGGUGUGACCUCCCCCGUGCAUGAACGGCCUUCGACGUGAUAAUGAUCGUCGUGGGCUGGAGUGCUAGCGGGCGUCGCGUCGCGUUCGGCGCUUCUAAUUCUCGUCGAAAGACGAAAUAUAUCGAA